UCCAAUUCAACAAGACGUCUUAACGUCAACGAGCUGGUGUGGUUUUGGGAACACGGAUGUGAAGCAUAUUUAUAUCUUUAGUGAAGUUACUCCAGAGAGAAAAAAGCGUCAUAAAAACGCUCAGGAUAUAGUUUCUUUCUAAAAAAUUGCACGUUUUCUGCUGCUAUUAGAUUUUUUUAUCGAUUAAUCACAAGAAAAAGCAACAUUCCACUAUUAAUCAGUACUUCAUCAAUAUCAUUAGCUCAAAUCUUAUGAUAAUUGAUUACACAAAAUAAUAAUGUAAAGCUAAUGUAAAAGCUAUAGUCUAAAUUCAUUUGUACAUCUUGUAGAAGCAAUCCGGUUUAGUAUUGUAAUCAAAAUGAUUAAAAUAAUAUUUGGUGGUAUAUUUUGGAAUCCCUUUUUCGCCUUUCAAUAUAAUGAGUCUUAAAAUUCAAUUUAAUUUGAUGAGAAAAUAUAAAGGUUUUGAAAUUAGCACGAUGGAGGAAGCAUUUAUUUUGAAAAAAUAAAUCGCCAAUAAAAUUGUAUCUUUCUGAGACCAAAAUGCUAAGUAUUUUACUAAUUACAGCGUAGCUUAAAGUAAAAAUAAGGUAUAUGCUUUGCACAGAUGUGUUCUCGCAAUUAACGUUCAAAAAUGGGCAUAAUUAUCAAAAUAUUAUUGGUAUUGAACAAAAUAAAUUAUCAUAUGCCACGUAUUUUACAUUCGAUUUAGAAAAUAAAAACUAUCAUUCAUUUAAGUUAUCCGCAAACCGGGUGAAAAUAGUUAAGUUUUUUCUAUAAUGUAGCAAAUAUUCGACGUGAAUCACGCACAGCAAUUAUUGUGUAUAGCAUGGGUAUAGCCAUAGAUGUUUACAAGAAUCGCUUGACAGUUGAAUCAUAUUUGACGUAAUCGCCACCAAGCAGAGUCACAACAAAAUUGCAGGUUUACUGCCAGCAAUUCGCUUACAUCGGAAACUUUUUAGCGUUUUCAUAAUUUAUUUUAGCUAUAGUUGAAAGAUGUAGAAAGACUUACAAGAAACAAAGAAUACACCAUGAGGCACGAUUUCAUCAAAAGCCAAGAGUUACACAGAGCGGACGCAACGCCGAACCUUGAUGGCUACUCUGAAAACAAGAAUUGUGAGCGAUGUAUAAGUCAGAUUCCUAUAAAUUAGAAAAAAUGACUUGAUGAUUAAUACUGGAAGAGAUGGAAUGUUUUCCAAAGUCAAAGUUUAAAGUUAAACCAGCGAAAGAUAAUCUUUACUUUUACCAACAUCUUCAAUACCUAUUCGAUAACUGUUUACAAUAUUCCACUGUAGAUUUGAAACAAUGCUAGAAUUCUAGCAUUCCAUAUGUUCAAUGAAAACGAAAAUUUAAAGGGAAAAUAAUUUAAAUAUAAUAUAAUCUGUAAAUAGUGGAA